AAGGUUAAUUGAUGGGGUUAGCGAAAGCGAAGCUCUUGAUCGAAGCCCCAGUAAACGGCGGCCGUAACAAUAACGGUCCUAAGGUAGCGAAAUUCCUUGUCGGGUAAGUUCCGACCUGCACGAAUGGCAUAAUGAUGGCGGCGCUGUCUCCACCAGAGACUCAGUGAAAUCGAAAAUCGCGGUGAAGAUGCCGUGUACCCGCGGCUAGACGGAAAGACCCCGUGAACCUUUACUGCAGCUUUGCAUUGAACUUUGACCUUACUUGUGUAGGAUAGGUGGGAGGCUUUGAAGUACGAACGCUAGUUUGUAUGGAGCCAUUCUUGAAAUACCACCCUGGUAAUGUUGAGGUUCUAACCCAGCUCCCUGAUCGGGAGCGGGGACAGUGUAUGGUGGGUAGUUUGACUGGGGC
rnacentral:rRNA from 1 species